GCUGACGAAUCAUAAGGAGCCACGAGGAUCUAUCUUUCGGUACGGACUAGAGCCGGGGUGCUUCUGAUCAAAAAGAACUUAAUUCUCAGCGCCAGGGGCCAAGAUGUCCCUCAGAUGUCAUGUGGUGUUCAGGGUUUGCGUUGGUGUUUCUAGGGGUGUGACUCCUCCCUGUGUCUCUCCUGGAUUUAGUCCCCUCGGCCCUCCAAAAUCGAUCUCUUUGACCUCUCACCCCCACCAAUGGUACAGGCCAAAGUAGGAGGCGGGCGGGGCCGGAGCUCUCUGGGCUGGAGGGGACGUUGGGAAUAUACCAUAUUUGACCCGAGAAACGGGGGGGGAGCCCGCGCCCACAGAGCCGGAGCUUUCUUCCACAACAAACUUCUGAUUUCCCAAAUACCGCGUGGCAACACGCUCCCGUUAAGGUCCUAAAGAAUUCGCCGGUGGCCUGCGUAGAGGUGAUCUGCGUGGAGACGGCUGGGGUCCGUAGACGCGGUUGGUACGUCCCGGGCCGCCGCUCUUCUCCCCCACCCCCACCCCGAAAGUGGAGGGUGUUCAGUUUGCGCUUCCGCCUGGGAAGGGGCGGGGAGGCUGGUUACCAGGCGGCGGCGUCUGCAGGUGCGUCUGCAGCUUCUCUGGCGCCCGGGGCGGCCCGGGGCUGAGGGCGGCCUGGGCCUGGGCUUUCCGCGGACCGUCACCGAGUGGCCGCUGAAGAUGAAUCACAAAGCCUUAGACCUUGGGGAUGAGCCCCCACCACCCCAUGUGCCCUGGCCUGGACAAGUUCUGAGCACUGGGGGAGGAAGGAAACAGUCUUAUGGGUGCAAAGUCGCUGGGCAGGGGUUCAGAUCUAAGCUAGAUCCCAGAGUCAGUGCCUGGGCCAUCAGGCCCUCUGUGCAGCAGGAGAGACCUGGCCGGCUGAUGGAGGGUGCCCAGGGAGAAGUGAACUCUGCCCUCCGGUGAUUGGUUUUUAAGCAAAUGCUUGGUUGGAUGGGAUUGAGGCGUCACUGGGUAGCAUCAGUGUCAGCCUGAGGGUCUUAGAGAUGGAAGAACCUUCAGUUCCCCCAUUUUGCAGAUAGGGAGACUGAGCUUCAAAGAGUGAUGUCCCCAAAGUCACACAGCUUGGUAGAGCCAGAGGGUGAAGGGACUAGAGAGGGUCUGUGAGGACUGGUUGGAGGAACUGAGGAUGUUUGGCCUUGAGGAGACAGAGAGGAUGGGGAGUGGGAGCCGUCUUCAAGGGUUUGAAGGGCAGUCGUCCGAAAACUAAGAUUACCCUUGUUCUCUUUGCCCCAGAAGGAGGAUCAGGAGCUGUGGCAGGAAGCUGCCAGAGACACGUUCGGACAGAAGGUCUAGAAAACCUUAACCUUUAGAGCGGCUCCCAGAGGGUCCUGGGCUACCCUGGAGAAGAAAGGCUGGGUGAAAGCUGCCUGGCGGGUUGGCCCUUGGGCCGCCGCCCCAAGCCUCCAGCCUUUCCUCACCCUCUCCCCCAGCUAUGCCUAGGGACUGAGCUGUAGACAUUUCUUCCUAUGUACUUGGUGCCCAGGGCGAGCCUUCCCACCAGAACGUCCGCUCCUUGCAGACAGCCAGGCUUUGGGGCUGUUUGUCUUGGUUUUCCCAUCUGCUCACAUGAUGUCAUGGGGAGAGUGCUGACCUGGGAAUCCCAGAAGCUUGAGUCUGAACACGUGGGCUCCCAUGCCAUCUCUGACCCUGGGUGACUUAUUUCUGCCCCACCUCAUUUUCCUGUCUGUAAAAUGAAGAGGUUGGACCAUGUGUAAUAGAGUGUAAGCAUCUUUGAAGCACCCUUUGUUUCUCUGUUGUUUUCUUUGUAUUCCCUACUUCCCGUUCCUGGCAGUAAUGGGCCGCUCAGAAAUGCUUGUUGGCUGAUUGUCUACAAGAACAUUCGUAGAAAGGCACAAAAAAUGAACUGAUUUUUUUUUAUUGAAUGCUAGAAAAUCUUCCCUUC
ensembl:lncRNA